ACUACGGGAGGCUGCAGUGGGGGAUAUUGCACAAUGGGGGGAACCCUGAUGCAGCGACGCCGCGUGGGUGAAGAAGCGCCUCGGCGCGUAAAGCCCUGUCAGCAGGGAAGAAAAUGACGGUACCUGAAUAAGAAGCCCCGGCUAACUACGUGCCAGCAGCCGCGGUAAUACGUAGGGGGCAAGCGUUAUCCGGAUUUACUGGGGGUAAAGGGGGCGCAGACGGCGAUGCAAGCCAGGAGUGAAAGCCCGGGGCCGAACCCCGGGACUGCUCUUGAAACUGCGUGGCUGGAGUGCAGGAGAGGCAGGCGGAAUUGCUGGUGUAGCGGUGAAAUGCGUAGAUAUCAGGAGGAACACCGGUGGCGAAGGCGGCCUGCUGGACUGCAACUGACGUUGAGGCCCGAAAGCGUGGGGAGCAAACAGGAUUAGAUACCCGUGUAGUC
rnacentral:rRNA from 1 species